UGGUCAAGGUUAAACUGACAUGUAUAGC
rnacentral:piRNA from 2 species